GGGCACGUAGCUCAGCUGGUUAGAGCGCUACCUUGACAUGGUAGAGGUCCGGGGUUCGAGUCCCUGCGUGCCCACCC
rnacentral:tRNA from 1 species